CUCCCUCUGAAUUUUGGUCUUUUCUUUUAGCUUCUUUAAUGAUGGGGUCUGCUGGUUCGAUCGAAGAAUGGUCCACCUCUUUAGGGGCAAGUCCUUGGAACCCUGUCAAAGGACACAAAGGUUUUGAGGUCGAUUCAGCUUUCAAACCUAGUGACUUUGGUUCUGUGCUAGGGUUGAAAGAUUUGGGCCGGAUCUGAGCAUCAUACGGAGUUCCAUCAGAGUUUGAUUUGGAGCUCUCUG
rnacentral:lncRNA from 1 species